CAGUCGCCACGGGAAUACGUAGGUGGCAAGCGUUGUCCGGAAUUAUUGGGCGUAAAGCGCGCGCAGGUGGUUUAAUAAGUCUGAUGUGAAAGCCCACGGCUCAACCGUGGAGGGUCAUUAGAAACUGUUUAACUUGAGUGCAGAAGAGGAGAGUGGAAUUCCAUGUGUAGCGGUGAAAUGCGUAGAUAUAUGGAGGAACACCAGUGGCGAAGGCGACUCUCUGGUCUGUAACUGACGCUGAGGCGCGAAAGCGCGGGGAGCAAACAGGAUUAGAUACCCCCGUAGUCCCUGUCUCUUAUAC
rnacentral:rRNA from 1 species